AGUGAACGCUGGCGGUAGGCCUAACACACGCAAGUCGAACGGCAGCACAGUAAGAGCUUGCUCUUACGGGUGGCGAGUGGCGGACGGGUGAGGAAUACAUCGGAAUCUACUUUUUCGUGGGGGAUAACGUAGGGAAACUUACGCUAAUACCGCAUACGACCUACGGGUGAAAGCAGGGGAUCUUCGGACCUUGCGCGAUUGAAUGGGCCGAUGUCGGAUUAGCUAGUUGGCGGGGUAAAGGCCCACCAAGGCGACGAUCCGUAGCUGGUCUGAGAGGAUGAUCAGCCACACUGGAACUGAGACACGGUCCAGACUCCUACGGGAGGCAGUAGUGGGGAAUAUUGGACAAUGGGCGCAAGCCUGAUCCAGCCAUACCGCGUGGGUGAAGAAGGCCUUCGGGUUGUAAAGCCCUUUUGUUGGGAAAGAAAAGCAGCAGGUUAAUACCCCGCUGUUCUGACGGUACCCAAAGAAUAAGCACCGGCUAACUUCGUG
rnacentral:rRNA from 1 species